AGAGCCUGGAGCUGAUGGAUCAAGAGACUGAGGCUCAGGAUAUCGCCAUGACGCAGGCACUGCAGAACCUGAAAGACACCCAGCGCCAAACUCUUCUCCUCCAGGCCCUGGCUGGGGCUGUACGAAGACAGCACCGUCGGUUGCAAGACCCCAUGCAGCGGCUGCAGAAUCAACUCAAGCGUCUGCAGGACAUGCAGAGGAAAGCCAAAGUGGAUGUGACCUUUGGACCUGUGGUGUCAGCAGCCCCGGCCCUAGAGCCUGAGGUGUUGAGUGAUGUCCGAGCAGCCUGCUCCCUCCGAACUCAAUUCCUGCAGAACCUUCUGACUCCCCAGGCCAGGGGAGGCAGCAUCCU
rnacentral:lncRNA from 1 species